rnacentral:lncRNA from 10 species
GGAUCAGUGAAGGCCUCUAGAAAGAGACUUAACAAGAGACACGAAAUAAACAUUAUUCAGGCCAAAAGGAGGAGCAGGGAGCCUGAGAAGCUUGGAGCCCAGGAACCUAAAAAAGGCUCCUCCCACACUGAAUACGGCUAACCUGUGUAAACACCCGAGACUGUGGAAACGACAGUGCAUGGCUGUGGCUGGUCCAUAGCCACCUCUUACCUGCACCACUCCCCGAAGGCCCGUGGGAUAAGA